rnacentral:rRNA from 1 species
CGCUAGCUACAGGCUUAACACAUGCAAGUCGAGGGGCAGCAUGGUCUUAGCUUGCUAAGGCCGAUGGCGACCGGCGCACGGGUGAGUAACGCGUAUCCAACCUGCCUUACACUCUUGGACAGCCUUCUGAAAGGGAGAUUAAUACAAGAUGUUAUCAUGAGUAAGCAUUUUCACAUGAUUAAAGGUUUACCGGUGUAAGAUGGGGAUGCGUUCCAUUAGAUAGUAGGCGGGGUAACGGCCCACCUAGUCUUCGAUGGAUAGGGGUUCUGAGAGGAAGGCCCCCCACAUUGGAACUGAGACACGGUCCAAACUCCUACGGGAGGCAGCAGUGAGGAAUAUUGGUCAAUGGACGAGAGUCUGAACCAGCCAAGUAGCGUGAAGGAUGAAGGUUCUAUGGAUUGUAAACUUCUUUUAUACGGGAAUAAACGAAUCCACGUGUGGAUUUUUGCAUGUACCGUAUGAAUAAGGAUCGGCUAACUCCGUGCCAGCAGCCGCGGUAAUACGGAGGAUCCGAGCGUUAUCCGGAUUUAUUGGGUUUAAAGGGAGCGUAGAUGGGUUGUUAAGUCAGUUGUGAAAGUUUGCGGCUCAACCGUAAAAUUGCAAUUGAUACUGGCAGUCUUGAGUACAGUUGAGGUAGGCGGAAUUCGUGGUGUAGCGGUGAAAUGCUUAGAUAUCACGAAGAACUCCGAUUGCGAAGGCAGCUUACUAACCUGUAACUGACAUUGAUGCUGGAAAGUGUGGGUAUCAAACAGGAUUAGAUACCUUGGUAGUCCACACGGUAAACGAUGAAUACUCGCUGUAGGCGAUAUACAGUUCUGCGGCCAAGGGAAAGCAUUAAGUAUUCCACCUGGGGAGUACGCCGGCAACGGUGAAACUCAAAGGAAUUGACGGGGGCCCGCACAAGCGGAGGAACAUGUGGUUUAAUUCGAUGAUACGCGAGGAACCUUACCCGGGCUUAAAUUGCAACCGAAUAUGGCGGAAACGCUAUAGCUAGCAAUAGCGGUUGUGAAGGUGCUGCAUGGUUGUCGUCAGCUCGUGCCGUGAGGUGUCGGCUUAAGUGCCAUAACGAGCGCAACCCUUGCCGAUAGUUACUAACAGGUCAUGCUGAGGACUCUGUCGGGACUGCCAUCGUAAGAUGUGAGGAAGGUGGGGAUGACGUCAAAUCAGCACGGCACUUACGUCCGGGGCUACACACGUGUUACAAUGGGGGGUACAGAGGGCUGCUACCACGCAAGUGGAUGCCAAUCCCAAAAACCUCUCUCAGUUCGGAUUGAAGUCUGCAACCCGACUUCAUGAAGCUGGAUUCGCUAGUAAUCGCGCAUCAGCCACGGCGCGGUGAAUACGUUCCCGGGCCUUGUACACACCGCCCGUCAAGCCAUGGGAGCCGGGGGUACAAGAAGUGCGUAACCGCAAGGAGCGCCCUAGGGUAAAACUGA